GCGCGAAAACUUUAUAAUGCUGGCAACAGCGAUAAGGGAACCUCGCGUGCCAGGUUACAAAUCUGGCUGUCGAGAUGCCUAAAAAGCAUUUCAUAGCAAGGGCCGGGCAAGACCGGUGCCAGCCGCCGCGGUAACACCGGCGGCUCGAGUGGUAACCGUUAUUAUUGGGUCUAAAGGGUCUGUAGCCGGCCGGAUAAGUCUCUUGAGAAAUCUGGCAGCUUAACUGGCAGGCUUUCAGGAGAUACUGUCUGGCUCGAGGCCGGGAGAGGUGAGAGGUACUUCAGGGGUAGGGGUGAAAUCUUGUAAUCCUUGAAGGACCACCAGUGGCGAAGGCGUCUCACCAGAACGGACCUGACGGCAAGGGACGAAAGCUAGGGGCACGAACC
rnacentral:rRNA from 1 species